rnacentral:rRNA from 1 species
AGAGUUUGAUCCUGGCUCAGAACGAACGCUGGCGGCGUGCUUAACACAUGCAAGUCGCGUGCGCAGUUGCCGUAGCAAUACGGUGAUGGGCGCACGGCGCACGGGUGCGCAACACGUGGGCAAUCUACCCUUUGAUGGGGAAUAACCCGCCGAAAGGCGGGCUAAUUCCGCAUAAGAUUCCCGGGACUUCGGUUCCGGGAUUGAAAGCAGCAAUGCGUCGAAGGAGGAGCCCGCGCCCGAUUAGCUAGUUGGUGAGGUAACGGCUCACCAAGGCAAUGAUCGGUAGCUGGUCUGAGAGGAUGAUCAGCCACACUGGAACUGAGACACGGUCCAGACUCCUACGGGAGGCAGCAGUGGGGAAUCUUGCACAAUGGGCGAAAGCCUGAUGCAGCGACGCCGCGUGGGGGAUGAAGCAUUUCGGUGUGUAAACCCCUUUCGACUGGGACGAAUACCUCGCAAGAGGAGUGACGGUACCAGUAGAAGAAGCCCCGGCUAACUACGUGCCAGCAGCCGCGGUAAU